GUCUUAUUGUUGAUUUAUUUUAAGUCUAUUCUGCUCAAUGAUAAUUUUUAUUUAAUAGCUGCAGUAUAUUAACUGUACAAAGGUAGCAUAAUAAUUUGUCUUUUAAUUGAGGGCUAGUAUGAAUGAUUGGACGAGAUAUUAACUUUCUUUGAUUCAAUUUAUGAAUUUGAUUUUUUAGUGAAAAUGCUAGGAUUUAUUUAUGGGACGAGAAGACCCUAUAGAAUUUUAUUAUUAAUAAAAUUCAUUAUUUUAGUUUAUAUAAUAAUUUGAAUUUUUAUUAAUGUUUUGGUUGGGGCGAUUAUGAAAAUUUUUUAACUUUUAUUUUAUAUAAUACAAUAAUUAUUGUUUUGUUUGAUCCUUUAUUAUGGAUUAUAAGAAGGAAUUACCUUAGGGAUAACAGCGUAAUCUUAUUGGAGAGUUCAUAUCGAUAAUAAGGUUUGCGACCUCGAUGUUGGAUUAAAGUAAUUUUUAGGUGUAGAAGCUUAAAUUUUUGAGUCUGUUCGACUUUUAAUUCUUUACGUGAUCUGAGUUCA
rnacentral:rRNA from 1 species